CUACGUGCCAGCAGCCGCGGUAAUACGUAGGUGGCAAGCGUUGUCCGGAAUUAUUGGGCGUAAAGCGCGCGCAGGCGGAUUGGUCAGUCUGUCUUAAAAGUUCGGGGCUUAACCCCGUGAUGGGAUGGAAACUGCCAAUCUAGAGUAUCGGAGAGGAAAGUGGAAUUCCUAGUGUAGCGGUGAAAUGCGUAGAUAUUAGGAAGAACACCAGUGGCGAAGGCGACUUUCUGGACGAAAACUGACGCUGAGGCGCGAAAGCCAGGGGAGCGAACGGGAUUAGAUACCCCGGUAGUCCUGGCCGUAAACGAUGGGUACUAGGUGUAGGAGGUAUCGACCCCUUCUGUGCCGGAGUUAACGCAAUAAGUACCCCGCCUGGGGAGUACGACCGCAAGGUUGAAACUCAAGGGAAUUGACGGGGGCCCGCACAAGCGGUGGAGUAUGUGGUUUAAUUCGACGCAACGCGAAGAACCUUACCAGGUCUUGACAUUGAUGGACAGAACUAGAGAUAG
rnacentral:rRNA from 1 species